rnacentral:rRNA from 1 species
UACGUAGGGGGGCAAGCGUUGUCCGGAAUCAUUGGGCGUAAAGCGCGUGUAGGCGGCUAGAUAAGUCUGCCUCUGAAAGCCCGGGGCUCAACCCCGGGAGGCGGGUGGAUACUGUCUAGCUCGAGUCCGGAAGAGGAGUGUGGAAUUCCUGGUGUAGCGGUGAAAUGCGCAGAUAUCAGGAGGAACACCAAUGGCGAAGGCAGCACUCUGGGACGUGACUGACGCUGAGACGCGAAAGCGUGGGGAGCAAACAGG